AAUGGGCUACUUUACUAUAAAAAAUAUUAAUAAUAACAAUCAAAGUUGGAUUGACAUUCUUAAUUUGUGUUCACAAUAGUUAAAAUAAUCACAAUUCACAAAGUGCACCACAAGAGGGCACCAACUCUCAAUUGUCUCCCUACUUGAGCUUUUGAUAUAUAAGAGGUCAUCAUAUAAGAAUAUCCUGUUUCAGAACUGAAAACUUCUUGUUAGUCCAAUAAAGGUUUUUACUGACACCAGCGAAAAACUGAUCAAGAAAUCAAAAAGAAAUCAACGCCUACUUCAUUGCAAGGUUAGCCACGCCCACUGGCGUGUUAGCGAGGAGGAGAGAAGAGCGAUACAGGACUAAAAAUAACAUUACUUUUCAAAGGAUCUUAAUGCUAGGUUAUUUAUUUUCAACAAUGUGACAUCAAUCACAUUUCUGAGCAGGCUUUGCAAACAGACUUUUAUGAUAUGGACUCAACAGUAAAGCAACAACAUGUGAUAACAGAUACGCAUGGGAUUUUAACCACCUGUUGAUCACCAAAUGAAAGAAUUUUGCGCUGGCGAUUACAUUAUAAAAGAGGCUAGGAUCAAAAAACAUGCACACAACACCUAAUACAAGCAAGCCAUGGCAGUC